CAAAAGACAGAGACCAGCCGCGAUCGCCC
rnacentral:sRNA from 1 species